rnacentral:rRNA from 1 species
CCUACGGGGGGCAGCAGUGAGGAAUUUUGGUCAAUGGUCGGGAGACUGAACCAGCCAAGCCGCGUGAGGGAUGAAGGUACAGAGUAUCGUAAACCUCUUUUGUCAGGGAACAAAGGCGGGGACGUGUCCCCGGAUGAGUGUACCUGAAGAAACAGCAUCGGCUAACUCCGUGCCAGCAGCCGCGGUAAUACGGGGGAUGCGAGCGUUAUCGGGAUUUAUUGGGUUUAAAGGGUGCGCGGGCGGUCUGUUAAGUCAGCGGUAAAAGCCCGGGGCUCAACCCGGGCCCGCCGUUGAAACUGGCAGUCUCGAGUUGGAGGGAGGUAUGCGGAAUGCGCGGUGUAGCGGUGAAAUGCAUAGAUAUCGCGCAGAACUCCGAUUGCGAAGGCAGCAUGCCGGCUCCACACUGACGCUGAGGCACGAAAGCGUGGGUAUCGAACAGGAUUAGAUACCCGAGUAGUC